rnacentral:rRNA from 1 species
CCCUUAGAUGUUCUGGGCCGCACGCGUGCUACACUGAGUGGAUCAGCGGGUCAGGUUGCGCGAAAGCGUUUCCUAAUCUUUAAAUCCGCUCGUGAUGGGGAUUGACGGUUGCAAUUUUCUGUCAUGAACGAGGAAUACCUUGUAAGCGCGGGUCAUCAUCCCGCGCUGAAUACGUCCCUGCCCUUUGUACACACCGCCCGUCGCUCCUACCGAUUGAGUGGUCCGGUGAGGCUUUGGGAUCUGAGCGGAAAGAGCGUUUCGCUGUCUCUGCUCGGAAAACUCAGUCGAACCUUAUCAUUUAGAGGAAGGAGAAGUCGUAACA